rnacentral:lncRNA from 1 species
GGUAGUUUGUUAAAACCAUUAUAAUCGAGGCUUCCAAAUUAAUUAAAAAUUAAUAAAAGGGUAUAUUUAUAAAUCUUCCAUAGUACAUGAGUAUAAAUAUGUAUUAAUUCAAUUCUUAAUUAAUUGAUAACUAAAACAAAAUCUAAACCUUAUAGGAUAUGGAUAGGGAUACAGUAAUGAACCUUAUAUAUUAAAACCCUAGCCAGCUCCGCCGUGCAAUUUGCAAGGAUGGAGGCAUACAAUAGACCAAGCGACGCCGGUGGCAGCGGUGGUGAAGUAGACAGAAUCUCAGCUUUGCCGGACGACAUUAUUCAUGAAAUCCUCAGACACUCAUCAGAACCUGCUAAACUAUCCGUCCUCUCGAAGAGAUGGAAUCAAAUCUAUCACUCCAGCCCGACUUUGAAAUUCGACACCUCUUCCUUGGAAUCCAAGCAAUGCCAAAGAAGGGAUAGUGGCCGCCGCCUUACAAUCCUGUAAGAGGUUGUUCAAAGGCCGCAGUAGUAACAGCAUCCCCACGGAAUCCGUCAUAAUCCAUACGUUGAACCCCUUACCAGACGGUUUCCUCAACGAAAUCUUGGUAUUGACUACAAAGAUUUCGCCUUGAAAGAUCGACAUUGACUUAGACAUAUGCUCUAUUGACGACCGGUACAUUAUGCCACAAAGCUUCUUACUACUACGUCAGAGCGACGAUGAUGUGAUGAUAACUACCAAUUCUUCCGCCGCCUUACAAUCCUGAAGUUGAAACGAUGCAACUUCCGUUCUUACCAAGCAAUCGAAAACCCUAAUUUUCAGGGUUUAGGAAUCUCCAUAAAAAUUGAAGUUUUACUAUGUUAAACCCUUCAAAUAAUAGAAAAAUAAAGUUUAAAAUAUUUUUCAACAUGUUAAAAUAAUACCGAGAAUGAAACUACGUUUGACCAUUAUUUAUAAGGAUUACCAUAAUGAAACUUUAUUUUUUUAUCUAUUUUCAACAUCCACGUCAAAUAUUAGUCGAUUUAAAAUUUUUGAAAUUUUCAUAUCAAAAUAGCUCAUUUCCAUAUGUUAACCUCUUUAAAAAUUGACCAAUUUUGCCAUGAAAGUUUUUAAAUUAACUAAUAUUUGACAUAUAUAUUGGAAAUAGCUAAAAAUUAAGAUUUAUACCAAAAUUUAUAAUAUAUAAUUGCAUUCUUUAUAAAUAUGGAUAAUUAAAUAUCGAUCUCUCACCCCUAUCUAACCACUCUCAAACCAUCGUGCUAGUGGUCCGCCUUGUUAAUGCGGCCUAACAAUCUAACAUACAGACGCAAAUCGAACUGCACACUAAAAAAAAGAACCCUAAAGUCUCAACUAGGUAGUUGAAUACUUACCUAGAUUAAUGUAACUAUAUUAUAGAAUCCUAUUUUAUGAACAACAUGAAAUAAAAAUAUGAUCAUAUUAACCACACAAAAAAAUAAGUAACUUUGGUUAAAAUAUUUAAAUCUUCCGUUUUUUCGAAAUUUCUAUCUCAAAUCACUUUUGAUUUAAUUUUUUAACAAGAUCCAAAUCACCUAUCCAAAUUAUUUAUCCUCAUAUUCUCGAGACCGUAAUAUUUUAUUGGAUGUUCCUUUACACUGUAUUUUUAGAAAAAAAGGUUAAUACUAAUUUUCAUGCAUGACGUAUACAUUUUAUUCUGAUACAAAAUGACAACGAACGUUAAUAUCAAUCAAUGUCUCAUAAUCCAACCGAAAACUAACUUCUCAACCGGUUCACA